rnacentral:rRNA from 1 species
AUUCCAGCUCUAAUAGCGUAUAUUAAUGUUGUUGCAGUUAAAAAGCUCGUAGUUGGAUUUUGGAGUUUGACAAGUGGUCUGCCUAAGGUGUGUACUGCUUGUCGGCUCUUCUUUUCUGGGGACCACGCUGCUCUUUAUUGAGGGGUGCUGGGAAUCAGAUCUUUUACUUUGAAAAAAUUAGAGUGUUCAAAGCAGGCCCACGCAUUGAAUACAUUAGCAUGGAAUAAUGGAAUAGGAAGUCGUUUCUAUUUUGUUGGUUUUCGGAAAUCGACUUAAUGAUUAAUAGGGACAGUCGGGGGCAUUUGUAUUCAAACGUCAGAGGUGAAAUUCUUGGACCGUUUGAAGACAAACUACUGCGAAAGCAUUUGCCAAGAAUGUUUUCAUCA